rnacentral:misc_RNA from 1 species
GCACUUGUUGCAUACUGUGACAAGAUUGCUGCCCAAGGGGGCCCAGUUCAUGUACCUGAUGAUUUUGGGGGAUCUAUUUUCCCAUCAACCCCAGUUGUGCAGCUGACAACUGUUACUAGAGCAAGUGCCCGACUACGUAAUGCACAGCCAGAGGUUAAUCUGGAUCAAAGCUAUGAGGCUUUGAAAAGGCAGAAGAAAAACUUUGAUGUUGCAAGUGCAGCUUUGGCAGCAGAAGAUAAAUCCCAGCAUCAAGACGCAGCACAGGCAAAGCCAUCAGAAGAGCCAGAGGCUAAUGAAAUGGAUCCUGAAAGGCCAGAAUCCUCAUCUGCUGAUGGCAAUAGGCCGGAAACUUCCAGGCAAGCAGAAGCAGAAGCAGAAGCAGAAGCAAGCGGAUCCCUAGACGCUACUAUGUUCGACGCUGAAAUGUCAACCCAUGCAGAGCAUGUCAAGGGUCUUUUUGUGGAGCGCACAGAAAAUUAUGGCAUUCCACAGCUUGAGAGGCUCUACACGCGUAUAAUGAAGGGUGUAUUUGAAACCAAGAACAAAGAAAAGGUUGAAGACGAUCCCAAGUACUCAAUUUUGAAGUUUUUGGUGAAAUUUGCCGGGGAUGAGGCAAAUUUCUGAACUGGGUAUUCCCCCCCAAACGAGAGAAAAAAUGAAAAAAAAAAAAAAAAAAAAAUUUUGCAGGUAGUUGAUGUAAAGGCGGGUUUUUUUUUUUCAAUGCAAAAUUGUUGAGUGAAAGGCGUCUCCAUCUCCUCUCAAAUCUCUACAUUUCCAUGUAUCCAUAGUUUUCCAUUUCAUCUUUGAUAGCAGAACAUGAGUGCCACCUGAAGAACGGAGCACUGAGGAAGCAU